rnacentral:rRNA from 1 species
UACAGAGGGGGCGAGCGUUGUUCGGAAUUACUGGGCGUAAAGGGCGCGUAGGCGGCCCGCUAAGUCGAACGUGAAAUCCCCAGGCUCAACCUGGGAACUGCGUCCGAUACUGGCAGGCUUGAAUCCGGGAGAGGGAUGUGGAAUUCCAGGUGUAGCGGUGAAAUGCGUAGAUAUCUGGAGGAACACCGGUGGCGAAGGCGGCAUUCUGGACCGGUAUUGACGCUGAGGCGCGAAAGCCAGGGGAGCAAACGGG